UACAGAAGAUUUAAGGACUCUCAGGAACUCUGAUUCUCCCAUAGGGCUUUCAGAUACCAUAGAUGGGAACAGAGCUACCACCAGGAAGGGCAGCAACAAACAGCCCAGAUGUCCUCAACGACAGAGCCUCAGCUGCUACAGAGAAUGGGGAAAGACCAGGCAGAGGACAUUCUCUGGCAUUUCUCUUUCCUCCCAGUGCAGUCCAUAGAUGUGCCCUCAGGAAAGGUUCGGAAGCACAGAUGGAAUCUGGCUAGUCCCUCUAAGUUUCUUCCCAGAUUCUAUCCCUCCUUCAGGGGUCUUGAGACUGGAAAACCCUGGUGUCUGUAUGGCUAUUGAGAAUGGAACGGUUUCCUCUUGUCGCUGGAGUAUAGAUUCUGAGAGAUUUUAGUAUUGUCCUUGUAUCUUUUGGACUUUGGAGCCUAUCUUCCGUUUUAUUCAAAACGGAAAGAGGGACAUUCAAAAGGGAGGUCCUGGAUGAUCUUCUGGACUUCUGCGGGGAGCCCAGAGCACUGUAACCACAAACAUCUUCUCAUGGUAAUAGCUGAUGCCAUAGUUCGAGCCACCGCAUCUGCAUCAUCUAUGUUGCCCGAAGAACCAUUCUGGCAACCAGCUUGCACUCAUCCAUAAUUACUGCAAACUCCUACUUACAACCCUUAGGCAGCUUGUCUUUAAAUUUUAUAACUAUUUCCCAGAGGAUGAAAUCCUAGUGGCUUGGGAGUGUGUGUUGGUUUGCAAUCAUGA